rnacentral:rRNA from 1 species
CUGGCUCAGGAUGAACGCUAGCGGCAGGCUUAACACAUGCAAGUCGAGGGGCAGCGGGAUGUAGCAAUACAUUGCCGGCGACCGGCGGAUGGGUGCGUAACGCGUAUGCAACCUACCUUAUACAGGGGAAUAACCUUUCGAAAGGGAGACUAACACCCCAUAGUAUUGAUUUAAGGCAUCUUAGAUUAAUUAAAUAUUUAUAGGUAUAAGAUGGGCAUGCGUAUGAUUAGCUAGUUGGUAAGGUAACGGCUUACCAAGGCGACGAUCAUUAGGGGUUCUGAGAGGAAGGUCCCCCCACACUGGUACUGAGACACGGACCAGACUCCUACGGGAGGCAGCAGUGAGGAAUAUUGGUCAAUGGGCGCAAGCCUGAACCAGCCAUGCCGCGUGCAGGAAAAGACGGCCUUAUGGGUUGUAAACUGCUUUUACAUAAGACUAACCGUAUAUUUGCGAAUAUACCUGAAUGUAUUAUGAGAAUAAGGAUCGGCUAACUCCGUGCCAGCCGCUGC